AAACACAGAGGCUUUAUAAACGGAUUGGUUAAAAAUCGGAAUAUUGUCGUUCGCAUCUAAGACAGUGAUUUCUAUAUUUACUGUACCAGAUCUCUGUGGUGUUCCUCCGUCGACUGCGAUCAGUUUUAAGGACAAGUGUGGAUGUCGCUCUCGGUCUAAAGGCUUCUGGAGCACCAUUUCUACAUAUUUAUUUCCGUCUGGAUUCGAAUGUUGCUUCAAUAUAAAAUUGUCGUUGGUUGAUAAAAUGUAAUCUUGUAAAGCGUUUUGUCCAACAUCCAGAUCCAUUGCAUUCUGUAGAGGUAACUUCAAUCCGACUGCAGCUGAUUCACUUAUUUCUGAACGGAUAGGUUUAUCAUUAUCAGGGAAAACAGGAGCAUGAUCAUUUAUGUCCAAAACCUCGACAGUGAUUCUGUGUAAUUCCAUUGGAUUCUCUAAAAUCAUCUCAAAGCUGAAGCUACACGGAGUCGUGUCUCCACAGAGCUGCUCUCGGUCAAUUCUCUCAUUCACGACCAGAGUCCCUUUGUCUGUCUUCAGCUCGGUGUACUGGAUGUUUUCCCCACUCACGAUACGGGCCCGCCCUGCACGGAGCCUUCUCAGAUCCAACCCGAGAUCUUGAGCCACAUUACCGAUAACAGAGCCUUUCUUCAUCUCCUCUGGUAUAGAAUAACGAAUCUGACCAUCAACCACGUUAGCAACACACAGCAGGAAAAGCAGCAUUUGUAAUUUCCGUAGCAGUCCUUGAAACACUCGCCAUCUUGCGCAUUUGUACACGAGAGAUCCUCCAAUUGCCAUCAUAGCAACAAAGAAAAAAAAAUCUGUGUCUGUGUAUCCAGUAGAAAUGAUGGUGAAACUGGUUCCUGUAAUAUUUUGCUCUGGCAGCCAAAGAACACGUUUUCAACCUUCAUAUGAGAAUCUAUGAGACGGCAUCACCUCAACCUCGAUAAAACACAGAGUCCUCUGUAUUAUGUAGUCAGACGGGGGUGGGGUGGACUGGAUGACGACGAAGCACAGAAAAUGUUUUGCUGACCAACAGCGUCCCUUAGAGUCUAAAAGGGGAACAAUCAAUAAAACAGUGCCGGCGCUGAACAUUAGUGAUGGACUAGACACGUUCCUAUGCUCAACAUUGAGGUCGAUACACAAAUUAGAAUCAGAUAAUAAGGGGAAGUUUUCAAAAAUACACAGCUAACAAAUAAUUAGGCUUCAUAGUCGAUGGCGGUAAGAUAACUGUAAAAAGGCAUAAACGAUAUGAAAAUCAGGAUACUGGGUGUUUUUAUCUUGUAAAAUGAAACAUACAUGACACUGACGAAGAGCUUUAAAAUUGUAGACCCUGUAAUAUAUAUUUGUUAUCAUUCAACCCUGAAGAUUGACGAUUUGAACAAGGGGUGCAUAGACAACAUACAUACUAUGAAAGGAUACAUACUAUAUAGUAAUACUCAAUAUGAAGGCAUCUUUCUACAGGAUACAAAAAACCGUCCAGUAUGACAUCGACGCCAACAUAAACAUCGCCUAGAUUAAGACUACUGCAAACUUCCCUUAGAAAAACACAGAGUGGCCGAAGUGCUGUCCAUGGUACUAUAUCUGACGUUCAAUAACAACGCACAUUUCAAGCUGAAAACAUGGGACACGGAAAAAGGUCAGUUAUUCAGGUGACCUCUGGAGAAUCUGGUUCAUCCACGAUAUCACUAAUGCCAGAACCAUCUUCACUAUUUUAUACUGAGCUAAAUGUGUUGAGUAAUGGCCCUUUGAUUCCUAUUCUAUACAGCAAGUAACAGUUGUAUGUCAGUGAUAUUAACACUCGUUUGUGUUCAUCACAUUUAUGCGAAGUUAUUUUGGAGCAAUAGGAGUAGAUUUAAAUUAGGGUUAGAAAAGUUGCAUGCGUGCAGAAGCAUCUAUGCACAACGUAAAGGCAAUAUUUGGAGUGGUGUAACUCGACUUCAAAGCCAUCUAUAAUUAAAAUGAAUCUUGCAAAAUAUCUGCAGGCUUUAUAGGUAAAAAAUUCCUGGGAAGAUCCCUGAACCGAAAAGGGUGCUGUCCACGGUGCUGAAUGUGGAGAUAUAGAUGUCGAAUGCGUAGCUCGAAUUUUUAUAAAAUACAACAAAAACAAUGCCAAAUAUCAGGUGUUACAAUACCUCCAGUGGAGAGUCUGGUUCGUCCAGGAUGCUCUUCUCACUCUGUAUCCUCUGCAUGGUCCCUGUAGAACUGGGGUCCAUUAUCAGCACGUUCUGACUACCAGCUCUGCCGAACUUACAGUCACUCUUUCUCGAGUCAGUCGUCCUGCACACCUCGUAAUUGUACACGUGUGGAAGAGUCCCUGUGCCCAGAGUGUCUGAGUAACGUGGAGGAUAAUAGGGAAUCACGGGAAGACUGGAGUGAUACAGGAUACGAGACUGUCUCCAUCUGUAGAUCUUCACUGAUAUAAUGACCACCAAACACGUGAUGAAGAGGAAGGACACUACAGCCAAAGCCAGCACUAAGUAAAAAGUCAGGUUGUCAUUGUACUCCUUGUCGUGUGUAAAGUCAGUGAACUCUGACAGCACUUCAGGGAAGCUGUCCGCCACCGCCACGUUCACAAUGACUGUAGCUGAACGAGACGGCUGCCCGUUGUCCUCCACUAUCACAGUCAGUCUUUGUUUCACAGCAUCUUUAUCACUCACUUGGCGGAUAGUUCGGAUUUCUCCAUUCUGUAAGCCCACUUCAAACAGCGCCCUGUCUGUGGCUUUCUGCAGUUUAUACGACAGCCAGGCAUUCUGUCCAGAGUCCACAUCCACAGCUACCACUUUAGUCACUAGAUAGCCCACAUCUGCUGCACAAGGAACCAUCUCAGCCACCAGAGAACCACCAGUCUGGACCGGGUACAGGACCUGAGGAGGGUUGUCAUUCUGGUCCUGGAUCACUAUUUUCACUGUCACGUUGCUGCUGAGUGGAGGGGAGCCUCCAUCCUGAGCUUUGACUACCAGCUGAAGAUAUUUGAUUUGCUCAUAAUCAAGAGAACGAACUGCGCUGAGAACUCCAGUUUCAGAGUUUAGACUCACAUAAGUCGAGACUGGACUACCACUGACCUGUGUAUCCUCUAAAAUAUACGAGAUUCUUGCAUUUUGGCCCCAAUCUGAGUCUCUCGCGCUGACAGUAAAUAUGGAUACUCCAGGUGGAUUAUUUUCUGUGAUGUAAGCAGAGUAAAUUGUUUUGUCAAAUAAUGGCGCGUUGUCAUUUACGUCAGAAAUCUUUAGGUGCAAUUUUGUGGAGGUGGAAAGAGGCGGAGAACCGAAAUCAGUGGCUGUUAUUGUGAUGUUAUAUUCUGAGACAGAUUCUCUAUCAAAAUGUUGAUCUGAGAUCAAAUUAUAAUAGUUUGUCAGAGAUGAUUCAAUCUUGAAAGGCAGUUUUCCCUCGAUCGAACAUUUUAUUUGUCCAUUUUUAUCAGAAUCCGCAUCUUUAAUGUUUAAAACAGCAAUUGUGGUACCGACAAGGGCAUCUUCAGAUACAGUGCUAGAAAAAGACAUAAUGUUUAUCACUGGAGCAUUGUCAUUAACAUCAAAAACAUCAAAUAUAACUUUACUUGUUCCUGUUAAUCCACCUUGAUCCCUAGCCUCCACCCUCACCUCAUAUUUUCUGUCUUUUUCAUAAUCUAGGGGACCAUUUACAGAUAUAGUGCCUGUUUUUUCAUCAAUGCUAAACAAAUCUUCCGCACUACCUUUAGUAUUAGAUAAACUGUAACUGAUGACUCCAUUAGAACCACUAUCAGCGUCUGUGGCGUUUACUGUUAUAACUCUCGUGCCCUUCAGUGUGUUCUCAAACACAGAGGCUUUAUACACGGAUUGGUUAAAAACUGGAGCGUUGUCGUUCGCAUCUAAGACAGUGAUUUCUAUAUUUACUGUACCAGAUCUCUGUGGUGUUCCUCCGUCGACUGCGAUCAGUUUCAGAGACAAGUGUGGAUGUCGCUCUCGGUCUAAAGGCUUCUGGAGCACCAUUUCUACAUAUUUACUUCCGUCGGGAUUUGCAUGCUGCUUUAAUAUAAAAUUGUCGUUGGCUGAUAAAAUAUAAUCUUGCAAGGCGUUUUGUCCAACAUCUAAAUCUUCCGCACUCUGCAGGGGAAACUGUACUCCUACCACCGCUGAUUCACUUAUCUCGAGGCGGAUAGGCUUGUCAAUUUUUGGGAAAACGGGAGCGUGAUCGUUUAUGUCUAAAACCUCGAUAGUUAUUCGAUGCAGUUCAAUGGGAUUCUCUAAAAUCAUCUCAAAGCUGAAGCUACACGGAGUCGUGUCUCCACAGAGCUGCUCUCGGUCAAUUCUCUCAUUCACGACCAGAGUCCCUUUGUCUGUCUUCAGCUCGGUGUACUGGAUGUUUUCUCCACUCACGAUACGGGCCCGCCCUGCACGGAGCCUUCUCAGAUCCAAACCAAGAUCUUGAGCCACAUUACCGAUAACAGAGCCUUUCUUCAUCUCCUCUGGUAUAGAAUAACGAAUCUGACCAUCAACCACGUUAGCAACACACAGCAGGAAAAGCAGCAUUUGUAUUUUCCGUAGCAGUCCUUGAAAUACUCGCCAUCUUGCGCAUUUGUCGAAGAGAGAUCCUUCAACUGCCAUCAUAGCAACAAAGAAAAAAAGAGGCAAGUGUGUGUAUCCAGUGGAAAUGAUGGUGAAACUGGUUCCUUUAAAUCCUUGUCCUGGCAAAAUGUGAUCUCGUCUUCGAAUAUCACAUGAUAAUCUUUGAGACUGUGCUCUCCCCUACAACGUUUAAACCGCAUAAAACACAGAGAGCCUUUGGUAUCAGAGGGAGGAUGGACUGGAUGACGACACGACUUAAAUGUUUUGCUGACCAACAGCGUCCCUUAGAGUCUAGAAUGAGAAAUUCACGUGCAGCCAAGAGCGCGGUACUGUCAUUUAGACUGAAUAAAGAUUCCGUCGAUAUCCGGUGAUCAAUACUGAUAACCAAUAAUUGAC
rnacentral:lncRNA from 1 species